UCAUAAUGGUGGUUAAACUGUCUUGAC
rnacentral:piRNA from 1 species